rnacentral:rRNA from 1 species
UACGUAGGGUGCAAGCGUUAAUCGGAAUUACUGGGCGUAAAGCGUGCGCAGGCGGUUUUGUAAGUCUGUCGUGAAAGUCCCGGGCUCAACCUGGGAAUUGCGAUGGAGACUGCAAGGCUUGAAUCUGGCAGAGGGGGGUAGAAUUCCACGUGUAGCAGUGAAAUGCGUAGAGAUGUGGAGGAACACCGAUGGCGAAGGCAGCCCCCUGGGUCAAGAUUGACGCUCAUGCGCGAAAGCGUGGGGAGCAAACAGG